AACUGCUGCCUUUGAAGAAGAGAUGACUAGAUUGAGUUAGAUGGAUUUGUUAUUUUUUCUUUUUCUUUUCAUAUUUCAGAUUA
rnacentral:ribozyme from 1 species